AAUUAUCAUUCAAAAUCUCCCCCAAACUCCAAAGGAUUCGGCCGGAAUAAACUCGCAAAGUCGGCAUACCAAAAAGGCGAAAAUCUGGGAUGCCAACUUUGUAAGUUUAUUCCAGUCAAAUCUUUUGGAGUUUUGAGGAGAUUUUGAAUGCUAAUU
rnacentral:miRNA from 1 species